CGGUUGUGUCCAAUCAACCACAAAAUAUUGUUUCCUCAGUCCCCACAGGUAGCGAAGCGUGCAACGAAUUGCAACGCAGGGAGCCCUUGUUUACAAUCCCAAUGAUCUGAUUACUAGACGGUUGGACAAUUUACUCACUGCUCCCCGGUUUCGUCAGAGGUUAAUUGGUACAAACGUUGUCGCAGUACGGCACGCACACACGAUGCUGCAGGAAAACGACAUUCGAUGUCAUAACAGAAAGUAAAUUAGUGCAGACCUUUUAGUUUUAUUCGAGGAAUUUACAUACGAGUUGUGAUAAAAAUAAAUUCUACCACAGUUUCUAGAAAAUGCAUGAAAAACAUAUAUCAAAAUAAUCUGCAAGAAACAAUCCAGUGCUGAUGAUGAUUCCCGAGGCGACCAAAAGCGCGAUGGAAUCAACAAACACAUAUUCCCGGAUGCACAGCGAUGGUCUAAUUACAGUCUUCUUUCAACACCGGUACGGCGCGGUGUGUUUUGACUCACAGCCACCAGAAACGUAUAUCAUGGAUAGGAUGUUAACGCGAUCGGAAAUAACGUUCUACGUCAGCGGGGUCAGCGCAAAUCACUUCAUCGAGGAAGCAUACUGGCGAAGAAAACCUGCUUGUUCUUACGGUUGUGCGGGGUAAAGAUGUUACUACAAUAUAUUCCGCUAUGUAUAAUCCUUAA